UGUGAUCUUUCUUGAAAUAGUUCCAAUCUCAAAUCGAUCAUCAACUUCAAGGAUUGGAAUCCAAGUUAAGCCUUUAAACCAUGUCUUCAAAACAGGUGAACAAUUAGCUGUUAACUCAAUGGCAAAGGAGAUGACAUUAUCCAUGGAGAUAUUGAGCGGGAUAAAACGUGCAACGUAGCUAAAGAAUCAGGACAAAUUAUCCAAUAACGCAAAAGAAUGGAGAAAAAAAAUGUAAUCACCAGCUUGUCAACAAAAAAUGCAGUAAAUGAGUCAAUAAUAGAAGAAUAUAAAGGCCAAAUCUAUGCAUUGCAACAUUCCAUUUUAGUGCUUUGAGAUCAUCAACAAGAAGAAGCAACAAACAAGUUGCCAAGACACAAGAUCAACCACUACAUAGCAAAUUUGCAGUGAAAUAUUUCCAAUGACAGACACGUGCUACAGAGCUAUCGUGACAAUUACGCGUAAAGAUGUUAUAUAACCACCAAAUGGAAGGAGCUAAGUCACAGAGUAUUUAAGAACCAGCGGGAAAGAAAGAAGAACUUCCAGCAUUUAACAUUCAACAGGGAAAGAGGAAACAACAGAUAGAAAGGUACUAUACCUUUUUCUUCUCAACUGAAGGAAAAAGAUCCAGUAGGGUUUUGUUAUUGAGUUGAAUUGUAUAACCUGCUUCCCUUGGUGUAAG
rnacentral:misc_RNA from 1 species